rnacentral:miRNA from 1 species
UACCAAAACGUCGAUGGUACCAGCAG